UCAAACUUCAGGUUUGGAUUGAAAAGCAGCACUUGCACUUGCUGUCAGGAUAAACCGUGUCUGUAAAGCGUGACAGGUUUCAGGGAAGGGGGAAUGAUGCUGAUGCUAGCACAUAUGCUACAGUAGCAGCUAAGCUAACCAAAGACUGCACGCCUCUCUCUGUGGUGACUGGAGCCGCCAUUUGUUCCUGUUCUGUUGAGGUACUGACAGAGACGGAAUGCGGCGCCACGCCGCACUUAUCAGCUGCAGGAAAAUCAAAUCUGUGGUCCGCUGGCCAUGAAAAACCACGAGCACAGAUUCAGAGCGAUGUCUCAUUGAUCAAAGACCCGGCUGGUGUAGAAGUUGACUCAACGCUAUUGUGCAACAGAAAACUGGAUCCAGGCCCUCUGCUGUCCUGGGAUGGACCUCACGUUCACCCUCCCAGCGCCUGACUGGGGCUGGUCCAGCUGGAGCCACUCAGCAACAGCCCAGGUCCAGAUGACGGUCCUGACCCUGCGUCCUUUCUUCCGUCUACUUGCAGACUGGAAACACACCGGAUCCUCAGCAGGACAGGUUCAUUCCAGCAGCUGAGCCAACCUCUGGGUGGAGGUUCUGAUUGGGUCAGAGUGGAAUUCUGUCUUUUCUUGUCCAUGUUUCUGCUGUUACAUUGGGCACUUUAGCUCAUAAAAACCAGAGUCAGAGCCUGAUAAAGGAGGUGCAGCUCCAGAUGUGUCAGCAGAAGAGGAUGAUUCCAUCCAAACUGUUUGUAGGCCAUAUAGGGAACUAACUAUCACAGCUGUUUGUUGUGUUGGGCUGCAGUUUUCUUUUUCCCUCUAAAUAAAUAAUAGAUGAUGGAAGUUUGUGUUGGAGCGCUGGCCCUGUUUUUCCUGCAGUCGUGGUGAGUUUUAUCGCAGUCACGGCGCUCACCAAAGUCUGUGGAGCAGCUCUGAUACCAAAACAACCAGAUUCAGGCACCAAGCGGUUUCCAUUUGGAUUAGUUCCUUAUCUGUGCAGCACAGAUGGAUCCUACAGAGCAAACACAUUCAAAUGUUUUAGAUUCAC
rnacentral:lncRNA from 1 species